rnacentral:rRNA from 1 species
UGAGGAAUAUUGGUCAAUGGGCGAGAGCCUGAGCCAGCCAAGUAGCGUGCAGGAAGACGGCCCUAUGGGUUGUAAACUGCUUUUAUGCGGGGAUAAAGUGAGGGACGUGUCCUUCAUUGCAGGUACCGCAUGAAUAAGGACCGGCUAAUUCCGUGCCAGCAGCCGCGGUAAUACGGAAGGUCCGGGCGUUAUCCGGAUUUAUUGGGUUUAAAGGGAGCGUAGGCCGUGGAUUAAGCGUGUUGUGAAAUGCAGGUGCUCAACGUCUGCACUGCAGCGCGAACUGGUCCACUUGAGUGUGCACAACGCAGGCGGAAUUCGUCGUGUAGCGGUGAAAUGCUUAGAUAUGACGAAGAACUCCGAUUGCGAAGGCAGCUUGCGGGAGCACAACUGACGCUGAAGCUCGAAAGUGCGGGUAUCGAACAGGAUUAGAUACCCUGGUAGUCCGCACGGUAAACGAUGGAUGCCCGUUGUCAGGCUGUUUCAGCCUGGUGGCCAAGCGAAAGCAUUAAGCAUCCCACCUGGGGAGUACGCCGGCAACGGUG